rnacentral:lncRNA from 1 species
GGUGUUGCGCCUCAUGUCCUACUUCCAUGAAACUGAUGCUGGCUGCCUGUGCUGGAGGACUUCCCUAUACCUUCCCAGCUGCCUGAGAGGAAGCGAUGACCUAGGCCAGGCUUUCCACAGCUAUAAGCCCCGACUCCCCACUUCUACAGCCCACAUAAGCCACUCUACAUGAUCUUCCUGUUAUGGGGAGUUUCCAGUUUGCAUUGCCUUCUCCCAUAAGUCCACCAUACCAUGCCUGAGGAUUUAUGGCAACACAGUCCCAGAAGACCCAUGAUGACAAC